rnacentral:rRNA from 1 species
UACGUAGGGCGCAAGCGUUGUCCGGAAUUAUUGGGCGUAAAGAGCUCGUAGGCGGUCUGUCGCGUCCGUUGUGAAAACUCGAGGCUCAACCUCGGGCUUGCAGUGGAUACGGGCAGACUAGAGUGCGGUAGGGGAGACUGGAAUUCCUGGUGUAGCGGUGAAAUGCGCAGAUAUCAGGAGGAACACCGGUGGCGAAGGCGGCAUCCUGGACUGUAACUGACACUGAGGAACGAAAGCCAGGGGAGCAAACGGG